UACGUAGGGCGCAAGCGUUGUCCGGAAUUAUUGGGCGUAAAGCGUGCGUAGGUGGUUCGUUAAGUCUGAUGUGAAAGCCCUGGGCUCAACCUGGGAAUGGCAUUGGAAACUGGCGACCUAGAGUGCGGUAGAGGGCAGUGGAAUUCCCGGUGUAGCAGUGAAAUGCGUAGAGAUCGGGAGGAACAUCUGUGGCGAAGGCGACUGCCUGGACCAGCACUGACACUGAGGCACGAAAGCGUGGGGAGCAAACAGG
rnacentral:rRNA from 1 species